rnacentral:misc_RNA from 1 species
UACGGAGGGUGCAAGCGUUGUCCGGAUUUAUUGGGUUUAAAGGGUGCGUAGGCGGCCCGUUAAGUCAGCGGUGAAAUCCCACGGCUCAACCCCGGAACUGCCGUUGAUACUGGCGGGCUUGAGUUCGGUCGAGGCGGGCGGAACUGGCGGUGUAGCGGUGAAAUGCCUAGAUACCACCAAGAACCCCGAUUGCGUAGGCAGCUCGCUGGCCCGAAACUGACGCUGAGGCACGAAAGCGUGGGGAGCAAACAGG